GACUCGGUGGCGAAUGGUUUCGCAUCCGUUCUCAUUUAGAUCGUUGUUUUGCAUUCAGCGGAAGGCGCCUGUUCGACUCAGGCCCGAGUCA